rnacentral:rRNA from 1 species
AAUAUUGCACAAUGGAGGGAACUCUGAUGCAGCAACGCCGCGUGAGUGAAGAAGGUUUUCGGAUCGUAAAACUCUGUCAUUGGGGAAGAAUAAAUGACGGUACCCAAUGAGGAAGCCCCGGCUAACUAGGUGCCAGCAGCCGCGGUAAUACGUAGGGGGCGAGCGUUGUCCGGAAUUACUGGGCGUAAAGGGUACGUAGGCGGCUAUAUAAGUCAGGUGUGAAAUACCAGUGCUUAACACUGGAAUUGCAUUUGAAACUGUGUAGCUUGAGUGCAGGAGAGGAAAGUGGAAUUCCUAGUGUAGCGGUGAAAUGCGUAGAUAUUAGGAGGAAUACCAGUGGCGAAGGCGACUUUCUGGACAUAUACUGACGCUGAGGAACGAAAGCGUGGGGAGCAAACA